AUUGAACGCUGGCGGCAUGCCUUACACAUGCAAGUCGAACGGCAGCACGGGUGCUUGCACCUGGUGGCGAGUGGCGAACGGGUGAGUAAUAUAUCGGAACGUACCUUAUUGUGGGGGAUAACGCAGCGAAAGCUGUGCUAAUACCGCAUAAUCCCUAAGGGGGAAAGCGGGGGACCGUAAGGCCUCGCGCAAUUAGAGCGGCCGAUACCUGAUUAGCUAGUUGGUGAGGUAAAGGCUCACCAAGGCAACGAUCAGUAGCUGGUCUGAGAGGACGAGGAGCCACAGUGGGACAGAGCCACGGCCCAGACUCCCGCGGGAGGCAGCAGUGAGGAAUUUUGGACAAUGGGGGCAACCCUGAUCCAGCAAUGCCGUGGGAGUGAAGAAGGCCUUCGGGUUGUAAAGCUCUUUUGGCAGGGAAGAAACAGCAGCUCUAACACAGUUUGCGAAUGACGGUACCUGAAGGAUAAGCACCGGCUAACUACGUGCCAGCCGCCGCGGUAA
rnacentral:rRNA from 1 species